rnacentral:rRNA from 1 species
GAUGAACGCUGGCGGCGUGCUUAACACAUGCAAGUCGAACGAUGAAGCUCAGCUUGCUGGGUGGCUUAGUGGCGAACGGUUGAGUAACACGUUAUUAACCUGCCCUUAACUCUGGGAUAAGCCUGGGUAACUAGGUCUACUACUGGAUAGGAGCGCCUACCGCAUGGUGGGUGUUGGAGAGAUUUAUCGGUUUUGGAUGGACUCGCGGCCUAUCAGCUUGUUGGUGAGGUAAUGGCUCACCAAGGCGACGACGGGUAGCCGGCCUGAGAGGGUGACCGGCCACACUGGGAAUGAGACACGGCCCAGACUGCUACGGGAGGCAGGAGUGGGGAAGAUUGCACAAAGGGCGAAAGCAUGAUGCAGCGACGCCGGGUGAGGGAGGACGGAAUUCGGGUUGGAAAUCUCUUUCAGUAGGGAAGAAGCGAAAGUGACGGUACCUGCAGAAGAAGCACCGGCUAACUACGU